rnacentral:lncRNA from 1 species
UGGUUUUUUUUUUUUUUAAAGAACAGUGAAAGGACUCGUCUGAAGUUAUUCCGACACGGCCCCUAGUUGCUAGGGCCUAUAUAAAAAAGCAGCUCAAAUGGAAAGUGUCACCCAGGACAGCAUUGGGAGGAAAUGACACCAGGAGACCUUGUUUCAGUGAGAAAUCCCAGGCACAGGGCUGAUCCAGAAGCUGGUCUGGGUUCUGUUUCCCUGCGCAGCUGGGAGGAGACAGAAGCACUCUGGGCCUCCGUUGUUGGCAAAGUGAGUCACACUGGACAGGAGAGUCUGGAAGAAUGGCAGGCACAGCUUGCAAGCGCAUCUGGAGGUGGCUGGAGAGAAAUAAAACGGAUUCUCUGGGGAGACGCAGCACAUCGCCUGGCUCUGCAGCCCCCACCACAUUGUAGCGUACACCCGUGGAGGAGUUUGGGGUCACACACUUACCGGCAUGGUGGCUGCCUGGCUGAGCCCGGGGACAGCAUGUACUCAUCCGAAGAGGGGACCCAUGACCGUGGUGUGCACAGUACAAGAGCUCGCUUGGGAUCUCUGAUAAAGGAAGUCCACCAUGCAGGGUUGAGCUGAACCACAGAAGCCCAGCCUGGGAGCAGGGGUGAGAGAUGCUUCUGUUGGACCACAGACAGCCUGAAAGACUGGACCAUUGCUGUGGCACCAGCCUCUGGCCCAAGGCUCUGGAUUCGCAGUCACUGGGCACCCUGGAAGUUGAGCUUCACCAGUUCUAAGAGAAUGGACUCCGAGGAACAGGGCUCUGGUCUACUUGCAGAUGAUCCCCAAGGUUCCCUGAAGCUGUGUGAUGGACCAGGACCAGGGACAAAGAGACGUCUGGCUAGGCAGAGGGAUGGGCGUACCUUUAGUGCUGAGGAGUGGAGGGCCUCGGAUGGCGGGUCUUCCAGAGCCAGCUCCUGCCUCCUUUCCACCCGGACAUCUGCGUAACUGUACAGGAAAUUAAGAGACCACAGUGGAGAUGGGGCAUUCCAGGAAGGGAUGACACCACCUGAACAGACAGCAAGGUACAUCGAGGUUCUCUACGUAACCCCUGCCCCCCACAACAGUCAACACAGAGGAGCCUAGCCUGUGACUUGUUGGAAGGAAUGAGCGUCGUUCUCUGCCUUAAAUUCGACCUGAGUGACUUAUAAUAUUACAUUCAAAAUCUUUU